AUAACCCUGAGGAUUGUGCUGCUGUGUUCAGGAAUGAGCUGCAGCUGUGCUGUUCUUCAUUUUCAAGACCGUCUUCUCUGAGACUUAAAGAUGCAGCUGCACUUCGAAGCUGAGACACACUCUUUGGCGCUGUGUACCAGACCCAUGUGUACAAGCUGUGUUACCACCUGUCUCCUGGUGCGAGUGCUCUUACUGAGUAAAGGCAGCAGAGUCUCCACAAUGUCUGGUACUAAACACAGGAAGGGAGAAACAGCAAAAUGAACCCCCUGCUAUGGUGUGAGUGACCUGUGAGACGCGAGGACAGAAAAGAUGAGCAAACAAACCGUCAGAGUCUCGAUGGUCCUCAUAGAGCGCACGCAGCUCCUCUUCCUCCUCUUCAGUCCAAGUGGGUUUGUUUUUCUCUCUGACAAAGUGAAGCCAACAGGAAGGAAUACAUUGAAAUACAUAAUAUAAGUUAAGAGUGAGAUCAUGGCUAGACUGUGUUAAUGUGUCUAAUUGUCACAUUAAAGACAGAUCACCGACCCAUCUUUGUUGUAGCCCUCUGUCAUUUCUUGUACAGCUCCAACAUUCUUCCAGAACAGCAGCUCCACGAAGGCUUUGUUGUUUUUUUCUGUCAGUGAAAAGAAUCGCUUCAGCACGUAUUUGGCAAAAGUCACAAGCUCCUGUAAAGCAAAGGAAUAAAAAAAUAAAAUUUUAAGCCA
rnacentral:lncRNA from 1 species